rnacentral:lncRNA from 1 species
GGAGAACAAGCAUCUAGAUCUGCAUAGAUCUUUCCAGUUUGUUUAAUAUCUACUAAUUAUCCAAUUAACAUAUUUAUAUUGCAGAUAAUUAUUUUUAAUUCUGUGUCCAUGUUGACAACUCGAUGCUAUCAAGUUCCUUGGCUUUCGUACCUCAAAGAUGUUAUUUUCUUCUUCAGAAAAGAAGAAGAAGAAGGAGAGGAAGAAGAGGAAGAAGAGGAAGAGGAAGAAGAAAGUUAUCCUAACACCCUCAUUGGCAAUUGAAGUCUUCACUUUUCUAUGUAUUGGUCCAGAUUAAAACCUCAGGCAACCCAAAGCAUUCAUUCCAAUGGGGUAUUUCAAAUCAACUGUGAAAUAACCAUUAUUAUUUUAUUUAAAUGCCUCUUCUCUCUCACAAAUUAAACCAUUAUUUUUAAAUCAUUAGAGGCAUAAUUUUGUGGAUAAUAAAUAUGCAGAUUAACCUACUUACA